rnacentral:rRNA from 1 species
AGUGAACGCUGGCGGCAGGCCUAACACAUGCAAGUCGAACGGCAGCACAGUAAGAGCUUGCUCUUACGGGUGGCGAGUGGCGGACGGGUGAGGAAUACAUCGGAAUCUACUUUUUCGUGGGGGAUAACGUAGGGAAACUUACGCUAAUACCGCAUACGACCUACGGGUGAAAGCAGGGGAUCUUCGGACCUUGCGCGAUUGAAUGAGCCGAUGUCGGAUUAGCUGGUUGGCGGGGUAAAGGCCCACCAAGGCGACGAUCCGUAGCUGGUCUGAGAGGAUGAUCAGCCACACUGGAACUGAGACACGGUCCAGACUCCUACGGGAGGCAGCAGUGGGGAAUAUUGGACAAUGGGCGCAAGCCUGAUCCAGCCAUACCGCGUGGGUGAAGAAGGCCUUCGGGUUGUAAAGCCCUUUUGUUGGGAAAGAAAAGCAGCAGGUUAAUACCCCGCUGUUCUGACGGUACCCAAAGAAUAAGCACCGGCUAACUUCGUG